rnacentral:miRNA from 1 species
GUCGGUGGAGGCAGGUUUGCCAG